UGACCUCAAAUCAGGUAGGACUACCCGCUGAACUUAAGCAUAUCAAUAAGCGGAGGAAAAGAAACUAACAAGGAUUCCCCUAGUAACUGCGAGUGAAGCGGGAAAAGCUCAAAUUUAAAAUCUGGCAGUCUUUGGCUGUCCGAGUUGUAAUCUAGAGAAGUAUUAUCCGCGCUGGACCGUGUACAAGUCUCCUGGAAUGGAGCGUCAUAGAGGGUGAGAAUCCCGUCUUUGACACGGACUGCCAGGGCUUUGUGAUAUGCUCUCGAAGAGUCGAGUUGUUUGGGAAUGCAGCUCAAAAUGGGUGGUAAAUUCCAUCUAAAGCUAAAUAUUGGCGAGAGACCGAUAGCGAACAAGUACCGUGAGGGAAAGAUGAAAAGAACUUUGGAAAGAGAGUUAAACAGUACGUGAAAUUGCUGAAAGGGAAACGCUUGAAGUCAGUCGCGUUGGCCAGGGAUCAACCUUGCUUUUUUGCUUGGCUUACUUUCUGGUUGAUGGGUCAGCAUCAAUUUUGACUGGUGGAAAAAGUUCAAAGGAAUGUGGCAUCUUCGGAUGUGUUAUAGCCUUUGUUCACAUACAUUGGUUGGGAUUGAGGAACUCAGCACGCCGCAAGGCCGGGUUUUUAACCACGUACGUGCUUAGGAUGCUGGCAUAAUGGCUUUAAUCGACCCGUCUUGAAACACGGACCAAGGAGUCUAACAUGCCUGCGAGUAUUUGGGUGAAAAACCCNGAGUGCGUAAUGAAAGUGAAAGUUGAGAUCCCUGUCGUGGGGAGCAUGACGCCCGGAU
rnacentral:ncRNA from 1 species